rnacentral:rRNA from 1 species
CGCUCUUUGUAAAAAAGUUAAGAUAUAAAGAGUACUGCCUGCCCAGUGACGUAGUUAAACGGCCGCGGUAUUUUGACCGUGCAAAGGUAGCAUAAUCAUUUGCCUCUUAAAUAGAGGCUGGUAUGAAUGGCAAGACGAAGGUUAAGCUGUCUCUUUCUUAAAUCUUGAAUUUAAUAUUUUUGUGAAGAAGCGGAAAUAUAUUCGUAGGACGAGAAGACCCUAUCGAGCUUUAAUUAUAUAUGUUUAUAGUGUUGUUAUUUAAUAAGGCUAAUUUGUAUUAGAUUAAUAAAAAGUUUAGUAUUAUUUUGGAAAAUAAUAAUUAUAAAAUAUAGAGAUUUUGAUUGGGGCAAUCGUGGAGAAAAAAUAUCCUCCAUUAUAAGGUAAUAAAUAACAAUUUAUAUUAUAAAGACCCACUGGUAUAGUGAUUAAAGGAAUAAGUUACCGUAGGGAUAACAGCGUAAUUUUUUUGGAGAGUUCAUAUUGAUAAAAAAGUUUGCGACCUCGAUGUUGGAUCAAGAUUUCCAGGAGAUGCAGUAGUUUCUAUAGGUUGGUCUGUUCGACCAUUAAAAUCUU